rnacentral:misc_RNA from 1 species
GUGAACCAUCAAAUCUUUGAACGCAAAUUGCACUCUCUUCGGAGAGUAUGCCUGUUUGAGUGUCAGCCUAAAAAAAAUCGCCAUAUUUGCUUUUACUCGGUAACAUUCGUCGGAAAUUUGGUCAUCUUAAACCUUUGGGUUUAAUCUGCUUAAAAUUUUCUUUACUAUUCCAAUCACGUUUCUAAGCUUUUAUUUUCUUAUACGUUUAAGGUAUCGAUCUUUAUUAGACGUUGCCGUUGCAUCGUAUCUCUUCCAUAAAUAUUUCUUUAACUUACCUCAGACAUGUGAGAACACCCGCUCA